rnacentral:pre_miRNA from 1 species
GGGGUUGUCUAAAUGACCCAUGAUAAAGUUUGAGUUAAAUAACCCAUCAUCCAAUCAUAUUGGAGAUAAAUGAGUUGGAAAUAAAUUAAUAAAUAAAAUAUAGAAAUUCCAACUCACUUAUUUCCAAUGUGAUUGGAUGAUGGGUUAUUUAAUCCAAACUUUAUCAUGGGUCAUUUAGACAACCCC